GUAGGUGGCAAGCGUUGUCCGGAAUUAUUGGGCGUAAAGCGCGCGCAGGCGGUUCUUUAAGUCUGAUGUGAAAGCCCACGGCUCAACCGUGGAGGGUCAUUGGAAACUGGAGAACUUGAGUACAGAAGAGGAAAGCGGAAUUCCACGUGUAGCGGUGAAAUGCGUAGAGAUGUGGAGGAACACCAGUGGCGAAGGCGGCUUUCUGGUCUGUAACUGACGCUGAGGCGCGAAAGCGUGGGGAGCAAACAGGGAUUAGAUACCCUGGUAGUCCACGCCGUAAACGAUGAGUGCUAAGUGUUAGGGGGUUUCGCCCCCCUUAGUGCUGCAGCUAACGCAUUAAGCACUCCGCCUGGGAGUACGGCCGCAAGGCUG
rnacentral:rRNA from 1 species